rnacentral:pre_miRNA from 1 species
UGUGAAAUUUCUGAGUUAAAUGUUAAUUCUAGAUUUAACAUUUUAAGAAAAUGCUAAGCUGUUUUCCAAAGUUGCUGUACCAUUUUACAUUCCCUGAAGCAAU